UCCUUUCUGAGUCAACUGCGUCAAUGGCAACGCCAACUUAGAGAAUCCCUCAAUGAACCUCCGAUAAUAACCUGCUAAACCAAGAAAACUUCUAAUCUCAAAAACAGACUUAGGAGAUUCCCACUGCAACACUGCAUCAACUUUCGAAGGAUCCACAUAAAUACCACCCUGAGAAAUCACAUGACCAAGGAAACUCACUUCCUUCAACCAAAACUCACACUUAGACAACUUAGCACAUAACUGGUUCUCCUUCAAGACUUGCAACAUAAUCCUCAAAUGCUC
rnacentral:lncRNA from 1 species